UCCAUGGUGGCUCAGACAGUAAAGAAUCUGCUUGCAAUGCAGGAGACCCAGGUUUGAUCCCUGGUUCUGGAG
rfam:TPA: Bos taurus chromosome 17, whole genome shotgun sequence.